UAAUACGGAGGAUCCGAGCGUUAUCCGGAUUUAUUGGGUUUAAAGGGUGCGUAGGCGGCCUUUUAAGUCAGCGGUGAAAGUCUGUGGCUCAACCAUAGAAUUGCCGUUGAAACUGGGGGGCUUGAGUAUGUUUGAGGCAGGCGGAAUGCGUGGUGUAGCGGUGAAAUGCUUAGAUAUCACGCAGAACCCCGAUUGCGAAGGCAGCCUGCCAAGCCAUGACUGACGCUGAUGCACGAAAGCGUGGGGAUCAAACAGGAUUAGAUACCCUGGUAGUCCACGCAGUAAACGAUGAUCACUAGCUGUUUGCGAUACAUUGUAAGCGGCACAGCGAAAGCGUUAAGUGAUCCACCUGGGGAGUACGCCGGCAACGGUGAAACUCAAAGGAAUUGACGGGGGCCCGCACAAGCGGAGGAACAUGUGGUUUAAUUCGAUGAUACGCGAGGAACCUUACCCGGGUUUGAACGCAUUUCGACAGCUCUGGAAACAGAGCCUCUAGCAAUAGUGAUUUGCGAGGUGCUGCAUGGUUGUCGUCAGCUCGUGCCGUGAGGUGUCGGCUUAAGUGCCAUAACGAGCGCAACCCUUGCCACUAGUUACUAACAGGUGAUGCUGAGGACUCUGGUGGGACUGCCAGCGUAAGCUGCGAGGAAGGCGGGGAUGACGUCAAAUCAGCACGGCCCUUACAUCCGGGGCGACACACGUGUUACAAUGGCGUGGACAAAGGGAGGCCACCUGGUGACAGGGAGCGAAUCCCCAAACCACGUCUCAGUUCGGAUCGGAGUCUGCAACCCGACUCCGUGAAGCUGGAUUCGCUAGUAAUCGCGCACCAGCCAUGGCGCGGUGAAUACGUUCCCGGGCCUUGUACACACCGCCCGUCAAGCCAUGGGAGCCGGGGGUACCUGAAGUCCGUAACCGCG
rnacentral:rRNA from 1 species